CCAUGCAGUCGAGCGAGAUCUUCGGAUCUAGCGGCGGACGGGUGAGUAACGCGUGGGAACGUGCCCUUCUCUACGGAAUAGUCCCGGGAAACUGGGUUUAAUACCGUAUACGCCCUUCGGGGGAAAGAUUUAUCGGAGAAGGAUCGGCCCGCGUUGGAUUAGGUAGUUGGUGGGGUAAUGGCCUACCAAGCCGACGAUCCAUAGCUGGUUUGAGAGGAUGAUCAGCCACACUGGGACUGAGACACGGCCCAGACUCCUACGGGAGGCAGCAGUGGGGAAUCUUAGACAAUGGGCGCAAGCCUGAUCUAGCCAUGCCGCGUGAGUGACGAAGGCCCUAGGGUCGUAAAGCUCUUUCACCAGGGAUGAUAAUGACAGUACCUGGAGAAGAAACCCCGGCUAACUCCGUGCCAGCAGCCGCGGUAAUACGGAGGGGGUUAGCGUUGUUCGGAAUUACUGGGCGUAAAGCGCGCGUAGGCGGGCUGUUAAGUCGGGGGUGAAAUCCCGGGGCUCAACCCCGGAACUGCCCUCGAUACUGGCAGCCUAGAGUUCGAGAGAGGUGA
rnacentral:rRNA from 1 species